rnacentral:rRNA from 1 species
GAUAAGGUUAAGUGAAUAAGGGCGCACGGUGGAUGCCUUGGCACUAGGAGCCGAUGAAGGACGGGACUAACACCGAUAUGCUUUGGGGAGCUGUACGUAAGCUAUGAUCCAGAGAUUUCCGAAUGGGGGAACCCAGCAUCUUUAAUAGGAUGUUAC